CUCUGGGAAGUUAACCAGCUGGCCAAGUCCACGGCUCAUGCAAAGCCUCCUCCACAGCUUCUGGAACCUUACCAGGGGACAAUUCCUCCCUCAGGAGACAGAGGAUGUCCCACUGAGGCCUUGGAGCCCCUCCUCUCCAACAGACUCAGCCCAAGGCCUCCAGGAGCUUUCUCUUGGGUUACAGCAAACGUAAGAAAAACAUUAAGAAGCGGAGACCACACCUCCUCCACAGCAAGCUCAGAGCUCGGCAAGCUCAGCUCAGCGAAAGAUGAGCUCAGCGGCCUGCGUCCCUCUCUUAAAGGCACAGAAGCAGAAGAGCCUCAGCUGCACUGACUUGGAAACCCUGAGAAGAGAAUCCAGACUCUCAGAGGGUCCUCUGGGAGAACGUCCAGGAGCAGUGCUCACAGCGCAGCUCCCAGCCUUGUGCUGUGGCCCUGCAGGCUGGAUCUGACCACUUAGGUGUGGAUCUUCAGACCUGUGGCCCUCCUGAUGCCGGACAGCUGGAUCCGAGGCACUCUGCUGGGGGCAGGGCUUUGCAGCAUCCUAGAGCAUCCCAAGUUGGCACACGACCUUUGCCUCCCAGCACAUUGACCAGGAAGAAUUGCUCCAGGCUUCAGACUGCAGGAAGACAGAUUCUAGGGUGUGACCUGCAGCUGACAAUCAUUAAGAUGUUAUAUUUAAUGAAGCACCUGACUAAAGGCUUCAGAGAAUAGCUUCAAAGCUAGAUGCAAUGAACUCCAAGAUUGCAAAAUGUGUUGUCUGCGCUUUUGUCUGUAGCCUGUGACACUGCUUGCUAUAGCCAAAAUAGAACAACAACAACCACCAAAUCCUUCUUUCAAAGCAAAAGAAGAAUAUGGGAAAAGGGUUAGAAGGUUUGGAGUUUCUAUCUGUGCUCAUUUCUCUAACAUUGGCCAAGAUAUAAACCCCUCUCAUGUAAAACAGAAAACAUGGGGCUGGGGAUUUAGCUCAGCGGCAUAAGCGCCUGCCUUGCAAGCAGGCAGUUGUGAGUUCGAUCCCCGUUACCGAUAAAAACGAAAAAAGACCAAAAAAAAAAAAAAAAACAGAAAACACACAGGCAGUCACCCUCUCUCAGUGGGUGAACGUGAGGACUAUGAUUAGAAACUGUUGCAAUAGAGGAGGAGCACUGGCCUGGCAAGCGCAAGGUCGUGGGUUCAAUCCCUGGUACCAGAACAAAACAAAACACCCAAAGAGAGAGAGGUGGAAAAAGGGAACAAAAAGGUAGAUAUCAUGAUUUGGGUGACAUACUCGGGCAUGGCCUCCACAGAAUAACGCCCUUCUUUCCCCUACAUCCUUUCCUAAUUCGAAUCAGAUUGAGACAGAUAAUCUGAUCCAAAUCCGAUACCCAGUUCUUUCACUGUAUAAAAAUGUCUUUCUCAGCCCGGCAUGGUGGUACACACCUGUAAUCUCAGCAUUCAGGAGGCUGAGACAGGAGGAUCACCAUGAGUUCGAGGCCAGCUUGAACUGCAUAACAAGAUCCUGUCUCAAAUAAAUAAAUAAAAUAAUUUUUGUCAAG
rnacentral:lncRNA from 1 species